rnacentral:rRNA from 1 species
UACAGAGGGGGCGAGCGUUAUUCGGAAUUAUUGGGCGUAAAGGGCGCGUAGGCGGCCUUUCAAGUGACGGGUGAAAUCCCUCGGCUUAACCGAGGAACUGCCUGUCAGACUGGAAGGCUUGAGACCGGGAGAGGUGAGUGGAAUUCCCAGUGUAGCGGUGAAAUGCGUAGAUAUUGGGAGGAACACCAGUGGCGAAGGCGGCUCACUGGACCGGUACUGACGCUGAGGCGCGAAAGCUAGGGGAGCGAACAGG